UACGGGGGGGUAAGCGUUGGCUCGGAAUCACUGGGCGUAAAGGGUGGCGUAGGCGGGUCUUUAAGUCAGGGGUGAAAUCCUGGAGCCUCAACUCCAGAACUGCCUUUGAUACUGAAGAUCUUGAGUUCGGGAGAGGUGAGUGGAACUGCGAGUGUAGAGGUGAAAUUCGUAGAUAUUCGCAAGAACACCAGUGGCGAAGGCGGCUCACUGGCCCGAUACUGACGCUGAGGCACAAAAGCGAUGGGGAGCAAACAGG
rnacentral:rRNA from 1 species